CACGUAGGGCGCAAGCGUUGUCCGGAUUUACUGGGCGUAAAGAGCGCGCAGGCGGUCGUUCAAGUCGAGUGUGAAAGCCCCCGGCUCAACUGGGGAGGGUCACUCGAUACUGAUCGACUCGAAGGCAGGAGAGGGAAGUGGAAUUCCCGGUGUAGUGGUGAAAUGCGUAGAUAUCGGGAGGAACACCAGUGGCGAAGGCGACUUCCUGGCCUGUUCUUGACGCUGAGGCGCGAAAGCUAGGGGAGCAAACGGG
rnacentral:rRNA from 1 species